AGAGUUUGAUCCUGGCUCAGGAUGAACGCUGGCGGCGUGCUUAACACAUGCAAGUCGAACGAACCUUCGGGUUAGUGGCGGACGGGUGAGUAACGCGUGAGAAUCUGCCCUCAGGAGGGGGAUAACGGCUGGAAACGGCCGCUAAUACCCCAUAUGCCGAGAGGUGAAAUGAAUUUCGCCUGAGGAUGAGCUCGCGUCUGAUUAGCUAGUUGGUGGGGUAAGAGCCUACCAAGGCUUCGAUCAGUAGCUGGUCUGAGAGGAUGAUCAGCCACACUGGGACUGAGACACGGCCCAGACUCCUACUGGAGGCAGCAGUGGGGAAUUUUCCGCAAUGGGCGAAAGCCUGACGGAGCAACGCCGCGUGAGGGAUGAAGGCCUCUGGGCUGUAAACCUCUUUUCUCAAGGAAGAAGAUCUGACGGUACUUGAGGAAUAAGCCACGGCUAAUUCCGUGCCAGCAGCCGCGGUAAUACGGGAGUGGCAAGCGUUAUCCGGAAUUAUUGGGCGUAAAGCGUCCGCAGGCGGCCUUGAAAGUCUGCUGUUAAAGCGUGGAGCUUAACUCCAUUUCAGCAGUGGAAACUACAAGGCUAGAGUGUGGUAGGGGCAGAGGGAAUUCCCGGUGUAGCGGUGAAAUGCGUAGAUAUCGGGAAGAAUACCAGUGGCGAAGGCGCUCUGCUGGGCCAUAACUGACGCUCAUGGACGAAAGCCAGGGGAGCGAAAGGGAUUAGAUACCCCUGUAGUCCUGGCCGUAAACGAUGAACACUAGGUGUCGGGGGAAUCGACCCCUCCGGUGUCGUAGCCAACGCGUUAAGUGUUCCGCCUGGGGAGUACGCACGCAAGUGUGAAACUCAAAGGAAUUGACGGGGGCCCGCACAAGCGGUGGAGUAUGUGGUUUAAUUCGAUGCAACGCGAAGAACCUUACCAGGGUUUGACAUCCUGCGAAUCCCUUGGAAACGAGGGAGUGCCUUCGGGAGCGCAGUGACAGGUGGUGCAUGGCUGUCGUCAGCUCGUGUCGUGAGAUGUUGGGUUAAGUCCCGCAACGAGCGCAACCCACGUCUUUAGUUGCCAGCAUCGAGUUGGGCACUCUAGAGAGACCGCCGGUGAUAAACCGGAGGAAGGUGUGGAUGACGUCAAGUCAUCAUGCCCCUUACAUCCUGGGCUACACACGUACUACAAUGCUACGGACAAAGGGCAGCAAACUCGCGAGAGCUAGCAAAUCCCAUAAACCGUGGCUCAGUUCAGAUCGUAGGCUGCAACUCGCCUACGUGAAGGAGGAAUCGCUAGUAAUCGCAGGUCAGCAUACUGCGGUGAAUACGUUCCCGGGCCUUGUACACACCGCCCGUCACACCAUGGAAGUUGGCCACGCCCGAAGUCGUUACUCCAACCCGCAAGGGAGGAGGAUGCCGAAGGUGCGGCUGGAUC
rnacentral:rRNA from 1 species